CGUUAUGCCUAUUGUUAUUUUGGACUAUAGGGUGUAGUUUUUAAAGUCAUACACAAUAUGGCGGCGAUUAUGCGGAAAUGAAAUUGAAUGUUACUUCGAACACGUUCUUCUACAAAAUAACCGACCUGUAUUUAGUGCUAUUGCUUUAACAUCAAUCGAAGCAAAAAUGGCACCAAUGUAUGCGUCUAAAAAUGUUAAAUUUAGAUGGAGACAAUCCAGAAAUGAGCUGCCAGGAAGUGAUCGAUUUCGGAAACGAAGAUUGAGAAGUGCCUGGAUACAAGGCUAGUAUUGUUAACAUCAUCUGAUACAAUCAACUUGAACAAAGCUGAAAUGGCUGCCUGACCUGACGUAAAAAUUGGAUGGCAGUACAUCAGACUAGAAGAUUACAAGUAUUGAGGUGGACAAAAUGAAACCUGAGCCUACCAAAGCUGACAGAUUGCACAAGAAACACAUGAAUGCAGAUUGGAAGAUUCAUUCUCUGGAAAGUAGAAAAGGGCAUGUUACAUACUGUUAUCACUGCCAUGACAGAAACCAUAUUGAGGAGCUGGUCCACCUGUAGGAAGAAUUGCGCUAUUGGUUGGAGCAGCACUAUUACCCAGCCAUACACCAGCACUUAGUUUGUCAUAGGGAGCAUUUCUGAGCAGUUAUGGAGACCACUAACUAUGCAGUUGUUGCAGUGAAACUUGCACCAGUGUGUUUUCUGUGGAGAUAAAGAGAUAGUGUCCAGCAAUGAAGACCCAACUCAAGAUCUGACCUUGUAAGGCCAAUAUGAAAUAACUGUGUGGGAAAAUGGGAAAAACCUGCAGUCAGGAAUGCACGGAAAUCAUCAAAAGAACAGUGUUAAAUUAAUCUUGAAUAACUUGACAUUUAUUUUGUUUGACAUAUUUAUUCAUGGUGCAGUGAAAACAUUCUUUUUUUCUCAUGGUUAUUUAAAUUUAGAAUUGAUAGGAGGGAACAUCACUAUGUAGUUUCAUGUUCAUAGUCAGAUCAAAACCCAUGUACAUGCCCAAAUGAGCAUUCGAAAAUAUCAAAAUGGUA